CCCCGGGCCCCGCGGCCCCGGCCCCGGCGGCGGCCCCGGGCCUCCCUGCCGCCUUGGUAGCGCCGGUCCGCACUCGGCCUGACCCGGGACGUCACGCCGCCUGUCUGUUUUCUCAAUGAUAACUUGGCAGGAGAAGGGGGAAGCGGCCGGGUUUUUCCUGGGCUCGGUACCGGGGUGACAUUCAGUGCCAGGCGAGCCUCGCCGGUCACCGCCAAGUCCCACCUGGAAAAAAACCAAACAAACAAACAAACAAA